GUGCUGAUGUUGGCAGCACAUACACUAAAAUCAGAAAAAUACAGAGAACAUUGGCAUGGCCUCUACAUAGGAUGACAAAAAAAUUCCUAAAACAUCUGUAUUUUUU